rnacentral:misc_RNA from 1 species
UACGUAGGGUGCGAGCGUUGUUCGGAAUUACUGGGCGUAAAGGGCGCGUAGGCGGGUUUGUAAGUCGAUUGUGAAAUCCCAGGGCUUAACCCUGGAGCUGCAGUCGAAACUACAAGUCUUGAAUGUCUGAGAGGGUGGGAGAAUUCCUGGUGUAGUAGUGAAAUACGUAGAUAUCAGGAGGAAUACCGGCGGCGAAGGCGCCUACCUGGCAGUACAUUGACGCUGAGGCGCGAAAGCGUGGGGAGCAAACAGG